rnacentral:rRNA from 1 species
AGAUUGAACGCUGGCGGCAGGCCUAACACAUGUCAAGUCGAGCGGUAGAGAGGUGCUUGCACCUCUUGAGAGCGGCGGACGGGUGAGUAAUGCCUAGGAAUCUGCCUAGUGGUGGGGGAUAACGUUCGGAAACGGACGCUAAUACCGCAUACGUCCUACGGGAGAAAGCGGGGGACCUUCGGGCCUCGCGCCAUUAGAUGAGCCUAGGUCGGAUUAGCUAGUUGGUGAGGUAAUGGCUCACCAAGGCGACGAUCCGUAACUGGUCUGAGAGGAUGAUCAGUCACACUGGAACUGAGACACGGUCCAGACUCCUACGGGAGGCAGCAGUGGGGAAUAUUGGCCAAUGGGCGAAAGCCUGAUCCAGCCAUGCCGCGUGUGUGAAGAAGGUCUUCGGAUUGUAAAGCACUUUAAGUUGGAGGAAGGUUGUAACUUAAUACGUUGCAACUUUGACGUUACCGACAGAAUAAGCACCGGCUAACUUCGUGACAGCAGCCG